rnacentral:rRNA from 1 species
CCUACGGGGGGCUGCAGUGAGGAAUAUUGGUCAAUGGCCGUAAGGCUGAACCAGCCAAGUCGCGUGAAGGAAGAAGGAUCUAUGGUUUGUAAACUUCUUUUAUAGGGGAAUAAAGGUAUCCACGUGUGGCUAUUUGCAUGUACCCUAUGAAUAAGCAUCGGCUAACUCCGUGCCAGCAGCCGCGGUAAUACGGAGGAUGCGAGCGUUAUCCGGAUUUAUUGGGUUUAAAGGGUGCGUAGGUUGUUUUUUAAGUCAGCGGUGAAAGUUUGUGGCUCAACCAUAAAAUUGCCGUUGAAACUGGAAGACUUGAGUGUGUUUGAGGUAGGCGGAAUGCGUGGUGUAGCGGUGAAAUGCAUAGAUAUCACGCAGAACUCCGAUUGCGAAGGCAGCUUACUAAGCCAUAACUGACACUGAAGCACGAAAGCGUGGGGAUCAAACAGGAUUAGAUACCCCAGUAGUC